UGGAUAUGUCAGGUUGGCCGAGCGGUCUAAGGCGCCAGACUCAAGGUUAGUUUCCUUCCGUAAUACGGAGCAUUCUGGUCCACGAAUGUGGGCGUGGGUUCAAAUCCCACAUCUAACAAUGUUUUUUUAGGAUUAACUUUUCUAACUGUAUUAAUUUUUUUAACUUUAUUAACUUUUCUAACAAGUUUUAUUUAAUCAACUAGUUUACUAACUCCUGUAUGUAUAUAUGUUACAUAUCCCCGUCCGCGAUUAUUUUGUGUGAUAAACUUCCCAUGCUUUUUAAAAGUUAUAUUAGUUCUUCAUUUUUACUCGCUUAAGUUGACUUUAAAAACAUAUUUUGCAUACUGAUUUUUUGAAGAAAAAAAUAUACUUUCAUUUAGUGCUGCAAUUUAAUUUUAUUCACCACCUCAUCCUUAUUUGUGCUGGUUGGAAAUUCAAGGAUACUUAACGAGCUGGCAUCCCACGAUUGAAGUUUGAAAGAAAUGAAAAUGUAAUCUUUGUAAUGAAAUUAAAUAAACAUUAUUUUAGU